rnacentral:tRNA from 1 species
GAGGGUACAGCUCAGUGGUAGAGCGCGUGCUUAGCAUGCACAAGGUCUGGGUUCAAUCCCCAGUGCCUCUG